CGAGUGCCGGCUGCUGUUGCUAGGGGCGACUCGUCCCGUUGGUUCUGAGCCGGAGGUGCGGUGCCGAGCGCGCAGGCUUGGUCCCUGGCGGCUCCAGCGGAGUUCCAGCGGUCCCGAGCGCCCGGGCAUCCCCGACCGCUCCGGGUGGGCCCGACGUUUACAGAGCCCUGACCCCGGCCGGCCGCAUCACCACGCCUGCAGAUGCUGCUGUUUGCAGAAGCUCAGUCCGCUUUCCCCGGGCCACGGAUGCAGCCAAGGAUGGAGCUACCGCAUCAGCAGUCAGUCACAGGCCUGGCGGAGAGCGCAGGAGCCGGGCCCCUGCUCCACAACUGAGGUGUCCAUCGAGCGUCCAGUCAUGAACCCGGCCCAGCCGAGUCCCCGCGCGGAUGACAGAGUGCAGAGACCAAGGCGGCGGCGAGAAUGGCAUGCGAACUCGAAGACGCACCCAGGGAUCCAUAACUAAAUGCCGCAGAGACCUGCAGUGGCAUUCCUCUGAAUCAAGCGUUUGUUCCACACAAUUCAGCUGAAAUGUAGAUUGUGAUAACUGGAAGUGUGCUCCAGAGCAGGGAGGCCAAGUGUGGGCAUCCAGUCUCACUGGGGGUCUGGGUCAGGGGAAGCCUAUAGAGGGCAUGCUCACUCUGAAGAUGGGUUGAUGGCUGGCUACACAGAGGCAUGGCGGUGAGGAACGGCAGGAUGGAUUCAAACACAAAAAGGGCGAGCGAGAGCCAGGUAGAUUUAGACAGCAUGGCAACAGGUCUCCCCUCAACCCUGAUGAAUUCUGGUGAUUCAACAUUGUUUCCUGAUAAAUUGAGGAAAGCCUCCAAAAGGUUGUCAGCCUCAGGAAGGGGCUUUGGAAAAGCCUGUGGACACUGGAGAACAUUCCACAUCGGCCAGAGAAGUAACUGGACAUGUGGCCUCCCCCAGGGGGAUUUGCUCAUUUGUGCUGCACAUUAAACAGUGAGUCAGUGAAUGCCAAAGGUGAGGAAUAACGAUGACAGCACUUAACCUCAAGGUUAGUAUUUCCUAGUUUUCAUGAAGUUUAAAAUUGAAGACCCAGAAUUGUAAAGGCUCAAUAAAGACCUGGAAGUGAGCCGGGCAUUGGUGGCGCACGCCUUUAAUCCCAGCACUCGGGAGACAGAGGCAGGCUGGUCUCAAACUCACAGAGCUCCGCCUGCCUCUUCCUCCAAAGUGCUAGGAUUAAAGACGUGCGACACCACUAUUAAAAAAAAAAAAGCGGCCAUACCUAGCUUUUCUUAACCUGGGUUCUGGGGAUGAGACUCAGGUCCCUGUUCUUGUACGGCUAGCACUUCACUUUCUGAGCUGUCUGUCCUGCACUUGGGAGACAGAGACAGGAGGAUCUCUAUGAGUUUGAGACCAAGCUAGUGUAGAAAGUUCCGGGCCAGCCAAGAUGACAUAGUGAGACAAUGUCUCAAAAAGGGAGGGGGAUGCUAGAGAGAUGGCUGAGCAGUUACAUGUACUUGCGACCCUUGUAGAGAACCUAUGUUAGGUUCCCAGCACCUUCUGGAACUCCAGCUCCAGGGGAUCCAAUGCCCUCUUCUGGCCUCUCAGGCACAAGGUGUGCACACACACGCGCGCACACACACACAGUCAAAACACACUUAAAAUAACGUUUUAAUGUCAUGUCAGGACAAUUUAAUGAUAACUAGUGACAAUAGCAACACCAUCAAGUUGUGCAUGCUCUACACCACAAUUCUGUCCUAAAUAUUUACCCUCAAGUGUGCAGAACAGAGGCUGGCAAGGCAGCUCAUCAGAUGAGGGUGCCAGCUCCAACCCUGUCAACCCAACGGAGGAGAAAAAUGACCCCUGCAGGUUGCCCUCUGACUUCUGUGCCUGCCUUGGCUCUUAUGUGAAUAGACACA
rnacentral:lncRNA from 1 species